UAGGGAAUCUUCCGCAAUGGACGAAAGUCUGACGGAGCAACGCCGCGUGAGCGAAGAAGGUCUUAGGAUCGUAAAGCUCUGUUGUCAGGGAAGAACAAGUGCCGUUCGAACAGGGCGGUACCUUGACGGUACCUGACGAGGAAGCCACGGCUAACUACGUGCCAGCAGCCGCGGUAAUACGUAGGUGGCAAGCGUUGUCCGGAAUCAUUGGGCGUAAAGCGCGCGCAGGCGGUUCCUUAAGUCUGAUGUGAAAUCUCGCGGCUCAACCGCGAGCGGGCAUUGGAAACUGGGAAACUAGAGUGCAGGAGAGGGGGGCGGAAUUCCACGUGUAGCGGUGAAAUGCGUAGAGAUGUGGAGGAACACCAGUGGCGAAGGCGGCUCUCUGGCCUGUAACUGACGCUGAGGCGCGAAAGCGUGGGGAGCGAACAGG
rnacentral:rRNA from 1 species